AGUUAAUUAACUUAAUAGAAAGUUUAUGUUUUGAAAACAUAACAUUAGAAGUUCAAAUCUUCUAUUAACUU
rnacentral:tRNA from 2 species